GGGAAGCCAUAUGGCGACAUAGAGCGGAACCCGAAAACCUAGUCUCAGUUCGGAUUGGAGUCUGCAACCCGACUCCAUGAAGCUGGAUUCGCUAGUAAUCGCGCAUCAGCCACGGCGCGGUGAAUACGUUCCCGGGCCUUGUACACACCGCCCGUCAAGCCAUGGAAGCCGGGAGUGCCUGAAGUGCGUGAGCGCAAGCAGCGCCCUAAGGUAAAACCGGUGACUGGGGCUAAGUCGUAACAAGGUACC
rnacentral:rRNA from 1 species